rnacentral:rRNA from 1 species
AUACGGAGGGUGCAAGCGUUAAUCGGAAUUACUGGGCGUAAAGCGCGCGUAGGCGGUUAAAUAAGUUGGAUGUGAAAUCCCCGGGCUCAACCUGGGAACUGCAUUCAAAACUGUUUAACUAGAGUAUGGUAGAGGGAAGUGGAAUUCCAGGUGUAGCGGUGAAAUGCGUAGAUAUCUGGAGGAACAUCAGUGGCGAAGGCGACUUCCUGGAUCAAUACUGACGCUGAGGUGCGAAAGCGUGGGGAGCAAACAGGAUUAGAUACCCCAGUAGUCC